GACAGAGGGUGCGAGCGUUGUUCGGAAUUACUGGGCGUAAAGCGCGCGCAGGCGGAUCCUGCAAGUCGGAAGUGAAAUGUGGCUGCUCAACGGCCACGCUGCUUCCGAUACUGCGGAUCUGGGGACCGGUAGAGGCUGGUGGAAUUGCAGGUGUAGCGGUGGAAUGCGUAGAGAUCUGCAAGAACACCCGUGGCGAAGGCGGCCAGCUGGGCCGGAUCCGACGCUGAGGCGCGAAAGCGUGGGGAGCAAA
rnacentral:rRNA from 1 species